rnacentral:rRNA from 1 species
GACAGAGGGUGCAAACGUUGUUCGGAAUUACUGGGCGUAAAGCGAGUGUAGGCGGUUUGAUAAGUCGGAUGUGAAAGCCCCGGGCUCAACCCGGGAAGUGCACUCGAUACUGUCAAGCUAGAGUACUGGAGAGGUUGGUGGAAUUCUCGGUGUAGAGGUGAAAUUCGUAGAUAUCGAGAGGAACACCAGUGGCGAAGGCGGCUCACUGGCCCGAUACUGACGCUGAGGCACGAAAGCGUGGGGAGCAAACAGG